AUUGAACGCUGGCGGCAGGCCUAACACAUGCAAGUCGAACGAGUGGCGGACGGGUGAGUAAUGUCUGGGAAACUGCCUGAUGGAGGGGGAUAACUACUGGAAACGGUAGCUAAUACCGCAUACCAUCAGAUGUGCCCAACUGGGAUUAGCUAGUUGGUGGGGUAACGGCUCACCAAGGCGACGAUCCCUAGCUGGUCUGAGAGGAUGACCAGCCACACUGGAACUGAGACAGGGUCAAAACGCCUACGGGAGGCAGCAGUGGGGAAUAUGGCACAAUGGGCGCAAGCCGUAUGCAGCCAUGCCGCGUGUAUGAAGAAGGCCUUCGGGGUGUAAAGUACGUUCAGCGGGGAGGCGUUACCCGCAGAAGAAGCAACGGCUAACUCCGUGCCAGCAGCCGCGGUAAUA
rnacentral:rRNA from 1 species